rnacentral:rRNA from 1 species
AGACGGCGGGGGCUAGCGUUGUUCGGAAUUACUGGGCGUAAAGCGCUCGUAGGCGGUUUGUUAAGUCGGAUGUGAAAGCCCCGGGCUCAACCUGGGAACUGCAUUCGAUACUGGCAAACUAGAGUAUAGUAGAGGCAAGUGGAAUUCCGGGUGUAGCGGUGAAAUGCGUAGAUAUCCGGAGGAACAUCAGUGGCGAAGGCGACUUGCUGGACUAAUACUGACGCUGAGGAGCGAAAGCGUGGGGAGCAAACGGGAUUAGAAACCCCAGUAGUCC